rnacentral:misc_RNA from 1 species
GUCACAGUUGCGGUAGAAUUGUCGCUGAGAGUAUACGUAUAGGGUGUCUUGGUAGCCCUUGAAGCUGCAACUGUAGAAGACAGAGAAAUCGGAGCCCGACCGGAGGGCCACCGCUUGGUGUUUCUGCGGUCCGGCUGUAUUCUCGAAUGUCAUAUCCUUGGCAAUAAAGCCUUCGCCGGAGACACCUGGGAGAUCAUGAUCAUGAAA